AGAAAGCAGCCGUCUCCGGUAUCCAGCGCUACAGCGUCUGACAGCUUGCAGCCAUACCACAUAACAGCUCAGGACGGGAAGUGAUCUCCUCUUACAAAUUACAGGAGCCAAUUUACACAGGGCAAACACUUCCCAUUUCGCAGAGACCAGAGCGAGACCGCGAACGGCAGCGGGUCAGGGCCUCCGCUUCUCUCGUAGCUCUCCAAACCCUUCCGGACACGUUGCGGGGGGAAUAGCACACCUCCGGGCACCCACGGCCGGUAAAAGCGGCUGGGAAGCACGGCUGUGGGUGCCGGACCCCGAGCAGGCGCUUGGGAUGGUCCAAAGCUCUCGCGGGACGGCCCUCCGUGCAGAGGUUUUUCCCCACUCAAUGGUUUCAUCCGUGUCUGGCAGCUAAGCGGUCCUUAGCCUGGGUAAAAAUCUGAAAGGCUUUGACAAGGAACACAGACAUCAGUAAGAGUGAAAACGUUCGCGGCAAACCUUCGGCUUCCAGGGCGUACACGUGCCACAGCAUUCGCUUUCCCAAAGUUAAAUGCGGAUCAGCAUCUCUUCCCUGACACAGCGCCUUGCCGUGCACUUUGUUGACUGCAAUCUCUUUUCCUAAGCCAGGCUUUGGGGGGAAAACAGGUGAUGUUAUCAAAUGUCUUUACUGUCCUUUGGUAUGGGUCUUAGCUGCUAAUGACGCUAGGAAGUAAAAAGAAACGGGAAUAGAAAUACACAACUAUGAGGAAUUAAAAUAGUGAAUUUAAUUCAGCCAGUUCCAACUAAAUUGGCAAUUCCCUGAAAAACAAACCUUGUGCAGAAAACAGAACACGUUUUUGUCUUGACAGCUGGUGAGAACAACUAAGUGAAGAGGCUAAUGGAGUAUUCCUGCCUUCUCUAAAAAUCAAAAGGUUCCACACAUUCUGAAAAUGCCUCAUUUUUUUCACUAAUGGGUUGAUUUUGGAGGUAGCUAUUGGAAAGGCUCUGCAAGGAAAGCAGAGGUCUGCACUCUUAAUACAAGCAGUAAUUUCAGAUGCCCACGUUGAAAUGUUUUACACAUACCUGGUUUUCGAAAAGCGUGUAUGCUUCCUUAAAGAAAAACCCAGGGCUUUUAAAAAUGGCUCAAAUUAGCCCAGAAACCUAAAGAGCCAAAAAAAUCUAUUAUUAUUUUCAAAGAUUCCUAAGCCCGGCUUCCCCAGCGGUCUUUACCUGGGCUUCAGGGAAAUGCACUGUUCAACGAAACGAUGCGACGUUAAGGCUCUCACCAGCCCACGAUGAGGGAGCUAGCUGGACAGCCUGGCUCAGUUUUUCUUAGCACUGAAAUACUUUUUCCAAACCAAUACCAAAAAAGGUUCGUUUCUAGGUCAAGACCUCAGUACUAAAUUUUAACCAGGGGUUGACAGUCAAAUCUGAACACAGCUGUAAAAUGGAUUCGCGAUAGCAGCUCAGACAUUCUUUUUCUAAUUAGAAAACAGUCAUCGAGCCUUGCGCGUCUAAAGGUGAAAGCUAUUUUUGACAUAAAAAUUAGCACGUAGUUCCUCUGUCAUCCUUCAGUUGCUGCUCUGGAAGCUGUGAGCGAAUGAUCCAAAGAUAAACAAGUAUAAACACACUGAAUUAAACAAAUAGGUAGAAGGGGAUCGAGUUCUAAGUUUUAUUCUGCCUGACAAUUAGAGAGGAAGAGAGUUAUUGUUACACUUACUAUUUAUCCUAAAAAGCACCAGUAAAAAAAGGUCCACUUAAGCACUGAGACAGACCUCAAAAGCAUUUAAAAUCUUGGAAGUGCUUUUAAUAGCUGCCUUUUGAAAAUACUGUUAAAUCUAUUUUUGAGAUGGAUAAACUAAGCCACCGAUAAAACAAGGCAGGAGUUUUCAGGAGGAGCCAGUGGUGAGAAAGUGUAGUCCACUUCUCGACAACUCGGCUCCCAUACAGGGACCCUAAGUGGCAAGAUAAAAAAAUAUCCCAGUACUGGAUGGUUUUAAAAACCUGGGCAUUCUUCAGAUCCAAAUUUUCCUUCCUUCCUUCCUUCUUAGGUGGGAAUCUAACCCCGAGAGUCUUGAAAAUUAACCCCAGGCAGUUUUCAAAAUAGUCUCAGAGUGACCAUUUCUAAAAUAAAUGUGAGCGAAGAGCGAGCAGAACUUGGAGGGCUUAUCACCACCAGUAAUGCCUCCCAGUAAUCCCUCGGCAACCCCGGCCCCUUUAUGUAACCCGGGAUUGCUGCAGCUCAAACAGCUUAUUGGGGUUUUGGUGUUUUUCUUUAAACCUCUUGUGGACAAAUGCAAACACAUUAAAUACUUUUUUCUUCUGCUAAAGAGAAAGUUACUGUAAGAGGGGAAAAAAAAAAAUCUUUUAUUUGUGAACAACGGCAAAUCGAAUUUAACUCAUAUGCUGAGAAUAACACACGUUUCUCUCUCUCAUCUGUUAUCUUGACUGAACAGCAAUCUUCCCAAUUUACAAUACUCAGGUAUAACUCUCCAACGGCAAGACAUAAAAGGUCGAAUCCCAAAUUUCUCCUCACCCCAAGCACCCUCUGGAAGUGGUGGGCUCUUGCAAAUAGAGAAAACAACGUGCCCAAGGUAAACCAUUUAUACAAUUUCCUGGCAGCGCGGGUGGCUGUGCCAUCAUACUUACUUCCCCGUGGCCCGCUCCCCCGCAGUGCCUCGCCAGCACAGUGCCAGGCACCCGGAGGCUCUCCUUGCCCGGAGGACGAGUUUUCGUGCCAUUGAUCUGACUGUUGUGACUUUCCAGGGCACAAAUCCUUCCAAGGCAAAAUUCAACUUUAAAACUUUCAGUCGGUGCUAAGCCAUUAACCUAAUGCUGAAUGCUUAUGGAAACUUAAGUAGAAAAAAAUAAAACCCCUAUUGAACCACUUGCAAUCGGAGACCUGAAUGGGCUCGAUAUAAAACCCACUCAAAUCAACGGCAGCAAUAGGCUUCCCUGGAUGUUGGACUAGAUCCAGCUUAAAAGUUUCCAUGUAAUAAACUAGGCUAAGCGCAUCAGCUGCAUAGAAACUAACUCGGUGUAACAGGAGCAUCUGUUCUUCACAUCCACCAUUUUCUUAUAGUCUUAACUCCCCCAGUGCUGCGGUGACAUGAGUUGCCACACAGAUCACUCAUCGCCGUCGCGCAACUACACGUCGUCUCCUGACAGCAGCUGGCCUUACUGCCCCGUUACACUGCGGACGAACCACCGGUUAUGAGGUAGCAUGCAUGCCGUAUAAACUUGACCAGCUCAGGGACACCCAAACUUCAUCUAAGGGUCAUCUCUGCGAUUUACCCAAAUCCAGACCCGCUACACCUACCAUGUCAAACCGGUGCAAGUUGGUAUCGUUGCCACGGGUAACAGAGAUGGCUUGGAAACUACACAUCCCAACAUGCAACGCCCCGCCAGCGCGGGCUGCUCUACGCUACGGGAGGAAGGAGUUCUGCCGGGCUGCGUUCGCCUCACAUGCCUCGUUUUGGCCGCACCGGCCUAAGUCAUGCAGCUGCCUGCACGCGAUGCUCUACACAGUGCAAAAACGAAGACCUCUACACAUCUGGAGUCAGAACAGUGGUAACAAAGUCAUAGCUACAUAUUCUUCUCUACAUUUUUGUUUAUUGAGACAAACUAAUUAAAAGGCACAAACAUAGGGCAUAUGUUUACAUGGACAUUAUAACAAACAUAUACAUUAAAAGUGUAGGAAUGUGUUUCCUUUCUGCUAAACAGAAAGUUCCUAAGCUUUUAUAUAUACAAAAGUUGUACAAUUUGAUGUCCUAAAGUACAAAAGAUCAUUUAUAAAAUUAUUUUACACUAAGCUCUAUUUUUUUUUUUUGUUUGUUUUUGUUUUACUAUGUAGUCCAAGCCCCUA